rnacentral:rRNA from 1 species
GAGUUCGCUUAAGACAUGCGAGUCUAGAGGUGCGAGACCUCGUCGGACGGAUCAGUAACACGCGAAUUACCUGCCCUCAGGUGGGGAAUAACCUCGGGUAACUGAGGAUAAUGCCCCAUAGAUCUGGGAUGCUGGAACGCUUCCCGGUUCAAAGCCACGGCGCCUGAGGAUGGGUCUGCGGCCUAUCAGCUUGUAGGGGGUUUUACAGACCCCCUAGGCUUCGACGGUUACGGGCUAUGGCAGUAGUCGCCCGGAGAUGUACUCUGAUACACUAGUCCAGGCCCUACGGGGCGCAGCAGUCGCGAAAACUUCCCAAUGUGGGAUACCACGAGGAGGGAACUCCCAGUGCGUGCACUUUGUGUACGCUGUUCUCCUGCCUAAAAAGCUGGAGAAGGAAGGGCCGGGUAAGACGGGUGCCAUCCGCCGCGGUAAUACCCGCGGCACCGAGUGGUGCUCAUUAUUAUUGAGUCUAAUACGUCCGUAGCCGGUCGGGUAGAUUCCUGGGUAAAUCGAACCGCUCAACGGUUCGAAUUCCGGGGAGACCGUCUGACUUGCGACCGGUAGAGGUGCGAGGUACUCCGGGGGUAGGGGUAAAAUCCUUGUAAUCUGCGCAGGACCACCAGUAGUCGAAGGCGUCCAGCUAGAUCGGAUCCGACGGUCAGUGACGAAGCCCAGGGGCGCAAACGGGAUUAGAUCCCCCGGUAGUCCUGGGUGUAAACGCUGCAGGCUUGGUGUCGGGGGUCCUACGAGGGUGGCCGGUGCCGGAGCGAAGGUGUUAAGCCUGCAACCUGGGGAGUACGGUCGCAAGACUGAAACUUAAAGGAAUUGGCGGCGGAGCACCGCAUCGGGAGGAGCGUGCGGUUUAAUUGGAUUCAACGCUGGAAAGCUCACCAGGAGAGACCAUAAUAUGUGGGCCAAGCUGAUGACUUUGCCCGAAUUAUGGAGAGGUGGUGCAUGGCCGUCGUCAGUUCGUACCGUAAGGCGUUCUCCUAAGUCAGAUAACGAACGAGACCCUCGCCGCCAAUUGCCACCCCUAAGUCCGCUUAGGGAGCACAUUGGCGGGACCGCUGGCGCUAAGCCAGAGGAAGGUGAGGUCUACGGUAGGUCCGUAUGCCCCGAAUCUCCUGGGCUACACGCGCGCUACAAAGGACGGGACAAUGGGUCCCGACGCCGAGAGGCGAAGGAAAUCCCGAAACCCGUUCGUAGUUCGGAUUGAGGGUUGCAAUUCACCCUCAUGAAGGUGGAUUCCGUAGUAAUCGGAGGUCAACAUUCUCCGGUGAAUA